UGCAGGAUAGUUCAGUCGGUAGAGCAUGAGGCUCCUAAUCUAAGGCUCAUGGGUUCAAGCCCCAUAUUAGGCAA